CCAUCCAGUCAGUCGGUCGGUUCGUCCCCCCCUCAGAAGGCCGCCCGGCCGGCUCUCCCCGCUCACCUUCCGGCUUGUUUUCGGCGGCCAUUUCCCCUCCGCGCGCCACAUCCUCCUCCGCCGCCUCCUCCUCGCGACCAGGAUCCAGGCAGGCGCGCGCGCUGCUCCCGCCGCCGCCGCCGCCGCCGCUGCUGUCGCCGCCUCUCCCGCUGGCCCCGCCCCUUCCUCUCCUCCGUUUCCGGUUCCGCUCCCGCCUUCCCGGCGGCCCGUAGCCGGCUUUUCUUCCCCCUCGAUGGCUUCGGGCGGCCGUGGCUUCUCUCGGGAGGCCUGACUUUGCCGCCACCGCUGCCGCCGGCGCGGUUUCCGCCGCUUUUUUCGGCCUUCUUUUUCGUCCUCCUCACGUUUCCUCACACACGCCCGCGGUUGCCAUUGGCCGCUCGGCGGGAUGGGCGUCGAGGUCAGGCCUCUUUUGCGACCACCCUGAGCUCCUGAUUGCAUCCCUUGGCCAGCAAAACCCUGCAAGAUAAGGGGAAGACCCAAGGCUUGUGGCACCUCUGAUGAAGGAUCCCCUGGGAUCUGUUUUUUGUUUUUUUCAGCCAGCCUUGUCAUGAACAACUCAGGGAUUCUGGAUCAAAAGCUCUCGAUUUGCUGUAUUACAUCGGCAGCGUUCCCACCAUCCAUUAAGGAAAGGAAAUGAUGGAAGAAAAAGGGGAUUCCAGAAAUGGGGCAGGGGUCUCCAGGAGAUUGCAGGCAGGAUCUGGGGAUCUUCAGCAUAACAAGGAUUGGUCUUGGAGAGGAGAGGGAAGGGAGGGCACCCACGCCAGCCAGCCAGCCAGCACAGCCCGGGCACCCAGGCGGAGGAGCUGGGCCAACGGAGGGCACGGAGCAGCUCUGCACGUGGCCUUGGCAGCAGACGCCUCUGCGUCAUUUUCAUCUUUCCUUUCUUUUUCCUUUCCUUCUCUCCUUUCCUUCCUUCUCUCGCCACCUUGUAUCUUUCUAUGUCUCUUCUUCCUCCUUUCCUGUCUUCCUUCUAUCCUGUCUUUCCCUUUCCUUCCUUCCUUUCUUCCUUCCUUCCUUUUCUUCUCCUUCCCCUCCUCCUCUCCUUUUUUCUCCUCCACUUCAUCUUCUCCUCCUUUCUCUUUUCCUUCCUCUUCUCCUCCUCCUUUCUUUUUCUCUUCCUCCUCCUCCUCCUGCUCUUUCCUCUUCUCUUUCUUCUCCUAUUUCUCAAUACCACCACAUCCUCCUUCCUCUCCUUCUAUUUCUCAAUUCCUCCUUCCUCCUCCUUCUCUUCCUCCUCCUUCCUCUUCUCCUUCUCCUGCUUCUCAAUUCCUCCUUUUCCUACUUCUUCCUCUUCACCAACUCCUUUUUCUCUUCCUCCUUCUCCUAUUUCUCAAUACCACCACAUCCUCCUUCCUCCUCUUCUUCUAUUUCUCAAUUUCUCCUCCUUCUCCUCAGAGAGAGAGAGAGAGAUAGAUUUCAGCAGGCUGGAGCCUGUCUCCUUCCCUCCCUCCCUCCCCCCAGCCCAGCCUCUCACCUGAGCCUCCCUGACAGCAGCAUCUGGAGCAGAAGCCUCACGCAACAUUAAACAUCAUGUUCUUUCAAGGGUGGGCAGGAUCCUUUCCCCUCUGAGCCAUGCCGAUAAUAGACUUGACUUUUUGGGGGCCCUACACCUCCUAAAAGGCAUAAAAGAAAGGUUACCCAGGCAUAGUGGAAAGCGGAGACUUUAAUUAAUCCCAGAGUGGGAAGCCACAAGCUGCACAAAGAUCUCAGUUUACUGAACCGGGUUCAGAAGACCCUGAGAUUCUUCCAAAGGCUUUUCUUGUUUUAAAAAAAAAUUGUAAUUCCUCCCCCCACCCCUCCUUCGAGACAUCGCCAUCAUCCCAACGCUCAGCUUGGUGCUUCCCUUAAAAGUCAAAUUCCAUGCAGAGAACCAAGAUUAAGGGAGAACUCACGAGGCUGCCCCCAUCUCCACAGGUCGUCCCCGACUUACAAUGGUUCAUUGAACGACCCACGUUGCAACAGCUCUGGAAAAAAAAGGGACUCGGGACCGUUUUUCACACUUAUGUGAUCGAAAUUCAGAUAAUUGGCAAUGGACUCACAUUGUCCUGGGAUCACGGACAGUUGUGGCCAUUUCACAAGCCAAGGGGUCUUGGUGAAGAGCAGGCGGAGGAGAUCCCGGAGAAGGAGAAGGACCUGCUGAAGAUCUUAGGAGAAGGAAGAGGAAAUCCUUCUGGGUUUUUUUGGAGAAAGAGAAGGACAUUUUGCGGGGAGGGGGGGAUCUCAAGGAAGGAGAAGGGACACGUUUCCAGAUCUUGGAGAAGUGCAGAAGACCAGGCAGUGAAGGACAACCUUGAGAUCUUCAGAGAAGGAGAUGCCUGUGGGAUUCUGGAGGGGAUCCAGAACUCUGUGGUGGCAAGUGGAUCUACAAAACAGCUCCCGAAAAUGUUUGUCGGGGAGCAUCCCCCUCCAUUCUGUAGGUAAUGCAAUUAAGCUCCUCAUUUUCAUAAGAAUUGGAAUUUGCAUUAUUCAUGCUCUGCCCAUCUGCAUCUACAAAAGGGGCCUCCAGCCCUUCCAGUUCUCCCCCCCUGCUUCCAGCCCAGGUAAGGAGACCAGUUUAACAGAGGAAAGCAGCAUCCUAGUCCCUUUGGAGGAGAAACUUGGCAUCUGCUGGUUGUAAGAUCUUCUUGGAAGGUGCAUCUGUUUUCCCUGGGCAUCUCUCUCUUUUUCUCCCUCUCCCACGACAGCUUGUAAUAGUCAUAAGUGUGAAAAAUGGUCAUAAGUCACUUAAGUCACCAGGAACUAAUUAGAGUCAUCUUGUUGUGGAGAUGGCUGUUGUAAAAAUUUAAUGAAAUACCUGCUAGACUAGACCAGCGUAAGAGUCAAAUCAAGUUGAAUAGAAUAUAGAAUAGGAAAUAGAAUAGAAUGGAAUGGAAUGUAAAAUAGAACAGAAUGGAAUAUAGAAUUGAAUCAUGGAAUAAAAUAUGGAAUAUAGAAUAGAAUGUAGAAUCCAAUCAAUUUGAAUAUAGAAUAGGAAAUAGAAUAGAAUGGAAUGGAAUAUAGAAUAUAAAAUAGAAUGGAAUAUAGAAUGUACACUGAUCGGCAUACAUUAAAAUAAAAUUUCAUGGCACACAGCUCUCAAAAGGCU
ensembl:lncRNA